UUCGCCCUUGGGUUCGAUUCCGGAGAGGGAGCCUGAGAAACGGCUACCACAUCUAAGGAAGGCAGCAGGCGCGUAAAUUACCCAAUCCUGACACAGGGAGGUAGUGACAAGAAAUAUCAAUAUAAGACGUUUGUGUCUUGUAAUUGGGAUGAGAGCAAUUUAAAACGCUUCUCGAGUAUCAAUUGGAGGGCAAGUCUGGUGCCAGCAGCCGCGGUAAUUCCAGCUCCAAUAGCGUAUAUUAAAAUUGUUGCGGUUAAAACGCUCGUAGUUGGAUAUCUGCUAAGGGGUUCCGGUCCUUCCCAGUGAAGAAUACGCGGAACUCUCCUUGGCAUUUGUUCAGGGAAAGUGUUUGCACUUUGUUGUGUGUCACGUGAUCUGGAUUUUUACUCUGAGGAAAUGAGAGUGUUCCAAGCAGGCUCACGCCGUGAAUAUGAUAGCAUGGAAUAAUAGCAUAGGACCCCUUUCCAAAGCUGUUGGUUUUUGGAACGAGGUAAUCAUAAUAAGGAUAGUUGGGGGUAUUCGUAUUUAACUGUCAGAGGUGAAAUUCUUGGAUUUUUUAAAGACGAACUACUGCGAAGGCAUCUGCCCAGGAUGUUUUUGUUGAUCAAGAACGAAAGUUAGGGGAUCGAAGACGAUCAGAUACCGUCCUAGUCUUAACCUUAAACUAUGCCGGCUGGAGAUCGGAGUUGUCAGAAUUGUGACGGCUUCGGCAUCCUGAGAGAAAUCGAAGUCUUUGGGUUCCGGGGGGAGUAUGGUCGCAAGGCUGAAACUUAAAGGAAUUGACGGAAGGGCACCACCAGGAGUGGAGCCUGCGGCUUAAUUUGACUCAACACG
rnacentral:rRNA from 1 species